rnacentral:lncRNA from 1 species
UUUUUUUUUGGUUAAAUAUAUUGUCGGGUACUAUACUUUGACAAAUUUUAAGAUUUAAUCCUUAUAUUUAAAAAGCUAAAAGUUAAGUCUUCUAACUUUUUCGCUUUAAAAACCUCAGUCCAACAUGCAGCAUCAUUAGUAUUUUCUAUCAAAAUUUGUCAAUUUGGCAUAUUGAUUAGGUUACCUUUAUGAUUGAAGAAAAAUAAAUACAUUAAGUUAACAAAAGAUACU